UUAUAUGCAUUGUGUGAAACUAAACGCAAACUUUUUUCUAUGUUGUGGGUGCGUGCAUUUGUGUUGUCCGGUGUUUGAAGACGCUUGGAAUUCGCUUUCAAUUUCUUCAUAGGAAAAAUGUCGGGUGAUACCGAUAAAGCGAAAAUCAGUGACAAUCAGGAUGAAGACAAGAAAUCCGGAACAGGCGACGGGCAGACGACGGAAGACGAAUCAUCCCAGGACUCGAAGGGUGAGUCGGCGCCAAUGGACGCGCAAGGUAACAACGUAGCAGACAAUAUAGAAGGAGACGCGAAGUCAACGACGGCGAACGGCAAAGAAGAUGACUGUCAGGGCGAGGACUCCAAGGAUGAUAGGGCUGUGAAGACGGAACACGCUAAGAAGGAAGAAAACGGUGAAACCCACGAUGAUGACGACAAAGAGGAUUUGAAGGAAAAUGACAAAGGGGCUAAGAAGUUAGCGCCGAAGAAGAAGCCCAAGAAAGAGGACACCGAAGAAGAGGAAGAAGAUGAAGAGGAGGAAGAUGAGGAGGAGGAGGAUGAAGAAGGAGAGGAGGGCGAUGAGGAGGAAGAGCAGAAGACAAAAGAGAAAGUAAAGAAACCAGUCAAGAAACCUAAAGACGGGGAGGAGGAAGGUGACGACGAGGAAGAGGGUGAGGAGGAGGGGGAGGAAGAAGAGGAAGAGGAGGAGGAGGAAGAGGCUCCGAAACCGAAACCCAAAAAGGAGCCAACUGAACCCCCUGUACCACUACCAGCUGGUAAAGGUAUACCCUUGGGGCAUAUCAGCAACGUGGAAGUGUCACUGUCGCGCUUCAAGACCCAAGACCAGAAGAUAUUGCACCAGUAUUUGUACGGACAACUCUGCCUGGAUCGCAACGUCAAAAGGAACAUCAAGAAGUUCAAAGGCUACGAAUGGGCGAUCGGUUCCACGGAGUACAAAGCUAAACUAGAAGAAACAGCCAAAAUGGAGCCCAAACAGUUGAGGACGAUGUGCGAGAUGUUGGACUUGGACAAAAAAGGUGGCGCCAGUGAGUUGGCUGCUCGUCUGGUCGGUUUCCUUCAGCAGCCGGUCGCGAACUCUCCCCACGCCCGCGGCGUUGCUCGCCCCCCUACCACGCAAGCGGCGACACCCGGCGGCCGACCGAGACGAUCAGCGGCCGUCAAGAUACACAACAGAGGCUACUCGGACGAAGAGUAUGAAUCUGAUCCGGAGACCAAGGUGAAGGGUCCCAAGCAGCCCAAGGACGGCUCGGAGGACUCUGAUGUAAGUGGCUCCUUCAACCCGAGCGGAUCUGAGGCGGACUCGGACUUCGACCCUGAAGGUGGUGAGGGUGUGAGCGGAGCCGCGCGCAAGAGGAAGAGCUCUGGACGACGCCGGUCCAGUAAGGGGAAGAGGGGGCGCAAGAGCAAGGGGAGGAAGAAGGGUGGCAGCAGAGGCCGCGGACGACGGGCACGUUCAGACAGCGAGGACGAGAGUGAACGCUCUGAUAGUGACAGCGAAUUGGACUCGGCCAGCGACGGAGACGAAUCAGAUGAACCGAAGUCCAAACGUGGUAGGCCCGCGGGGUCCGUGUCUAAGGGUCGCAAGGGAGCUGUAGCAAAGGCUAGCGCUAAAGCGACUCCCGCUAAGCGGAAAGCGCCUACACCCACAGGGAAGAAGAAGGCCGGUGCCAAGCCAGUCGGUAGACCAGCCAAGAAGGGCAAGCGGGCGUCCUCCGACGAAUCUGGAGAUGGAGAAGAAGGCAGCGAGGAAGAAGAUGAAGAAGGCAGCGAGGAGGAGGAGAGCGGAGAAGAGGAUGACGAGCCAACUGACAAGAAAGCCAAGCGUCCACCUACAGACGAGGAGAUUAAGAAGUACGUGAAGCAGAUCCUGGAGGGCGCGAACCUGGAGCAGAUCACCAUGAAGACGGUCUGCAAGCAGGUCUACAGCCACUAUCCGGACUUUGACCUGGCGCACAAGAAGGACUUCAUUAAAGCUACUGUCAAAUCGUGUAUUUAAGAUGUUAACGAGUUAAGGCGGAGUGUAGAUGUCUACAUAGCAUACAUAUAGUUUAUAAACUGAAAUAGUUAUAUAUUAUUACAAUAAUAAUAUAUUAUGUGAAAUAAUUGAAGUGGAAAUGGAUUUUACGCCCGCUUUUCUUUUCAAGCUCAUAUCGUCGUGAGCGUGUGGUCGGCCGCAACCCUAGCACUAAGCACAGCACUAAGUCCGAAGAUCCGGCAUAGUAUAAUUAUAUAGCCUAAGAAUAAUCCUCCUGUUGUUUUAAUGUUUAAUUUGUAAUAAAAAUACUAUAUAUUACAUGUGUUUUGUUUCGCCGCGUCGGGACCAUCUGUCGGUCGGGCGAUGCAUCUAACUUACUUCUGUUCCGUGUCGUCUCACCGUCGGCAUCAGUUAUAUAUAUAAGAUCUGUGACUAUCGUACGCAUCAAUUGUACAAAUUCGGCUCAUUCAACUCGGCACGACAGACAUACGUGCGGAAAUGUUUUGUAGUUUAUAAUACUUCUAGACAGCACGUGGUGGAUCGUAUGUCUGUGUAUAAAUUAUUAAAAUUGUUAAUUGGUUUUAAUACGUGAGGAGGGUAAGGUUUUUGUAUGUAGGCUAUAACUAUAUGAUUUGCAGUCUCUAACUCGAUUAAGAUUUGGUUAAGAGUAUUAUAAGAUGUGUAAAUACACAGGACUGCACGUUUGGGAACUUCGCUUCGCUGAAUUCGGUUAAGGAUAUGGUAUAAAGGUUGAUAAAAAAAAAAUUAUUCUUGUACGAACUUUUUGGAGCCGCCUUUUCAUACAUUUUUUUUUUAAUUUUUCAUUGUUUCCGAAAUAGUUUUGACAGAUGUUGUAAUUAAAUUGUGCAAUAAUAUCAAAGUUCUACAGUAAUGUGUAAUGAUCCGUCAUCGACCGUACACGUCGCGAGUCUGGCGUUGUAUAUUUAUAUAUCUUUUGUUUCUUAAGUGUAUUUUGUGGCCGAACUGUUGCUAAGUCCGUGAGCUAAACAUUCUAGAUGUAUAUGGUCUGGCGUCCAUAGACGUGAGACUAACGCCUCCGCGCACAGAGACCGUGUCUAUAUCCAGGCCUCGGUCCGUCGAGUCGUUGGCUAUAUAAACAUUAAUAUAUUUUACUAUGACUUGCAUACGGAUUUUUUUUUUAUUAUUUUUACGUACAAACCUCUAUCGGCGUCCAGACCGUCUAAUGUAAGGUAGUCUUAAUCAACAUUAAAUGUGUAUUUGUGAAUUUUUAACCUUAUUUUUGGUUGAUGUUUCUUUAUAUUGUGUAAAUGGAUGAGAUCAGUAGAGUAGUGACACGGAGUGAUAGAGUGACUGGUUCCCUUUUACAAUUGGAAUAUAGAUAAUAAAAAAAAAACAAAUAAAAAGUUUGAAAUGUCA